rnacentral:rRNA from 1 species
GAUGAACGCUAGCGGCAGGCCUAACACAUGCAAGUCGAGGGGCAGCAUAAAAUAAACUUGUUUAUUUGGUGGCGACCGGCGCACGGGUGCGUAACGCGUAUGCAACCUACCUUACACAGGGGGAUAGCCCGGAGAAAUUCGGAUUAAUACACCAUAGCACUAUCGGAUGGCAUCAUUUGAUAUUUAAAGCUUUGGCGGUGUAAGAUGGGCAUGCGUCCUAUUAGCUAGUUGGUGAGGUAACGGCUCACCAAGGCUACGAUAGGUAGGGGGCCUGAGAGGGUGGUCCCCCACACUGGUACUGAGACACGGACCAGACUCCUACGGGAGGCAGCAGUGAGGAAUAUUGGUCAAUGGGCGCAAGCCUGAACCAGCCAUGCCGCGUGAAGGAUGAAGGUUCUAUGGAUUGUAAACUUCUUUUAUUUGGGAAUAAACCCCUUUACGUGUAGAGGGCUGAAGGUACCAAAUGAAUAAGCACCGGCUAACUCCGUGCCAGCCGCCGCUGUAAGAC